rnacentral:rRNA from 1 species
UACGUAGGGAGCAAGCGUUGUCCGGAAUCACUGGGCGUAAAGCGCGUGUAGGCGGAUGGGCAAGUCUGCUGUGAAAGCGCCUGGCUUAACCGGGCGAGGUCGGUGGAAACUGCUCGUCUGAGGUCGGUAGAGGCAGAUGGAAUUCCCGGUGUAGUGGUGAAAUGCGUAGAGAUCGGGAGGAACACCUGAGGCGAAGGCGGUCUGCUGGGCCACCUGACGCUGAGACGCGAAGGCGCGGGGAGCGAACGGGG